CUCAAGUGUUCUUGUGCUUGGAGGACUGUUGGCGUGCUGUGUGACCGUGAUGGUCUGCCUUGUCUUCUACAUACUUAGAAGGAGAGUUUCUGACUCUUCUAGAGGAAUAAAAGACUCACGUCACACUGAACAUGACCGUUCAACUACGGAGCAAUUAAAAGAUUUGGAAAGAGAACAUGUGAACUAUGCAUCAGCACUGGAUUUUUCAGCAACAAACGUCAGACACUGGAAGAAAAUGAAAUGCAACACAGAAUGUGUGUAUUCUACAGUCAACACAGAUUCACAAAAACAGCAGCAGCUCUAAUUAGAACCACAGUAUUUCUAUCAGUCCGCAAAACAGGACUUAUUUAAUUAAUGGAUGUAUCUUUUCCUGUUUUAAGACCUUCAGUGCAUUGCAAACUAUUUUUUUGAU